AAGCUCGUAGUUGAAUUUCGAGGUCAGUAGGUUGGUCGUGCCACCGGUACGUACUGGUCUCACUGAUUCCUCCUUCCUGAUGAGCUGUAAUGCCAUUAAUUUGGUGUUUGCAGGGAAUCUGGACUGUUACUUUGAAAAAAUUAGAGUGUUUAAAGCAGGCUAACGCUUGAAUACAUUAGCAUGGAAUAAUGAAAUAGGACGUUCGAUCCUAUUUUGUUGGUUUCUAGGAUUGACGUAAUGAUUAAUAGGGAUAGUUGGG
rnacentral:rRNA from 1 species